CAUUAGCCCUGAUGGAAGCGGCAUCCUUUUUAUUUUUUGACAGAUUUCCUAGCCUGCAAAACGCUUGAUAAAAAUAAAAAGAUACAGCGGACAGCAGGAAACAGC
rnacentral:sRNA from 1 species